CAGUCGCCGCGGUAAAACGGAGGGUGCAAGCGUUAAUCGGAAUUACUGGGCGUAAAGCGCACGCAGGCGGUCUGUCAAGUCGGAUGUGAAAUCCCCGGGCUCAACCUGGGAACUGCAUUCGAAACUGGCAGGCUAGAGUCUUGUAGAGGGGGGUGGAAUUCCAGGUGUAGCGGUGAAAUGCGUAGAGAUCUGGAGGAAUACCGGUGGCGAAGGCGGCCCCCUGGACAAAGACUGACGCUCAGGUGCGAAAGCGUGGGGAGCAAACAGGAUUAGAUACCCCGGUAGUCCCUGUCUCUUAUAA
rnacentral:rRNA from 1 species